GUAACAAGGUCUCCGUUGGUGAACCAGCGGAGGGAUCAUUACCGAGUUAUACAACUCCCAAACCCACUGUGAACCUUACCUCAGUUGCCUCGGCGGGAACGCCCCGGCCGCCUGCCCCCGCGCCGGCGCCGGACCCAGGCGCCCGCCGCAGGGACCCCAAACUCUCUUGCAUUACGCCCAGCGGGCGGAAUUUCUUCUCUGAGUUGCACAAGCAAAAACAAAUGAAUCAAAACUUUCAACAACGGAUCUCUUGGUUCUGGCAUCGAUGAAGAACGCAGCGAAAUGCGAUAAGUAAUGUGAAUUGCAGAAUUCAGUGAAUCAUCGAAUCUUUGAACGCACAUUGCGCCCGCCAGCAUUCUGGCGGGCAUGCCUGUUCGAGCGUCAUUUCAACCCUCGAGCCCCCCCGGGGGCCUCGGUGUUGGGGGACGGCACACCAGCCGCCCCCGAAAUGCAGUGGCGACCCCGCCGCAGCCUCCCCUGCGUAGUAGCACACACCUCGCACCGGAGCGCGGAGGCGGUCACGCCGUAAAACGCCCAACUUUCUUAGAGUUGACCUCGGAUCAGGUAGGAAUACCCGCUGAACUUAAGCAUAUC
rnacentral:misc_RNA from 1 species